rnacentral:lncRNA from 1 species
GUCUUUACCGCCCUCCCCGCCCCCCCGGAACCAAAAGCUUGGAGUCUGGAGUCUUGCAGGUUGCGACUGAGUCUCCGGAAGCCCCUCUGGACUUGGAGGUUCACACCCCUAUUCCUGGUCACAAUUUCUGGGCAGGAGACCACCCUCUCCCGGAGCGGGGAGGAUCUGUGGGCAGGGCCCCGGCGAGCGCCCACACCCUCGCGUACCCACACAUCCACGUGGGCGUCUCGGGACACAGCAGCAGGUGCUGGCAGGUGACGGGCAGGACCUCCACGGCAGCAACUCAGCUACCAGCGCUUUCCUUUCUCCUUCCAAGGCCCUUUCUUCUCUCCUCGACCUUUUGAGCCCCCCCCCCCCCACUUGCAGCCCAGCUUCCGGCCCGCAGUCUACACCCCUCCGUUCUCCCCACGUGCAGCUCCUCAACGCCUCCAUCCCCACCUGGAGCGAAGUCCCGGCUCCGGAGGCUGGAGGUCCUCGGCGCGUCACGGGGAGGUCCCGGGCCGCCCGGGCAGUGACGGAGCUCGGACCCCUCUGCGUGCUCGAGGAUCCAGGCAGCUGUGAUGUCCUUGCUGUCGCCGCCCCAGUCCGCCGCGCACCAGCUCUGGGGGUGCCGGCCGCGCGCAGCUGCCCGAUUUCUCCUCGCUUCUUGGCUUCCAGGAGGGUCCAGCAGCCCAGGGCUAUGACUAAGGCGCUCACUUGAUCGCAGAGGUGGCGCGGAGCCCGGCGAGCCGAUGACGGACCCCUUCCUCCUGUCUUCAGUGCCUCAACGGAAGAUCCUCAAGGGCUGGAGAGAGAAGGGCUGCUGCUGGACACCCUCCCGGGGAGGCUGCUCCCACCUGCCGCUCGUGGUGUACGAGACUGGGGACUGAGCGAGCCCCAGCCGUCGCUGCCGUCGGUCGGACCGGCCCCCGCCCCGCUCUGCUCGGCCCGCCUCCCGGCCCGGCUCGGCCCGGCCCGGCCCGUCCC